GUGGGGAAUCUUCCGCAAUGGACGAAAGUCUGACGGAGCAACGCCGCGUGAGUGAAGAAGGUUUUCGGAUCGUAAAGCUCUUUCGUUAGGGACGAACGUGCUCUUUGUGAAUAAUGAGGAGUAAUGACGGUACCUAAAUAAGAAGCCACGGCUAACUACGUGCCAGCAGCCGCGGUAAUACGUAGGUGGCAAGCGUUGUCCGGAAUUAUUGGGCGUAAAGAGCGCGCAGGCGGGAUAUCAAGUCUGUCUUAAAAGUGCGAGGCUCAACCUCGUGAGGGGACAGAAACUGGUAUUCUUGAGUGUCGGAGAGGAAAGUGGAAUUCCAAGUGUAGCGGUGAAAUGCGUAGAGAUUUGGAAGAACACCAGUGGCGAAGGCGACUUUCUGGACGAUGUCUGACGCUGAGGCGCGAAAGCUAGGGGAGCGAACGGGAUUAGAUACCCGUGUAGUCC
rnacentral:rRNA from 1 species